CUAGAUCAUUUUCAGUGGAGAAAGCAUACACACUCUUAUGGCCUCUGUCUCUCACUGGACAAUGCUCCUCAACCUUCUAUCCAGUGUCCCCUCUUUGCGCUCACUCUUCCCAGGACAAGCAGGGUUCUCACAGGGUCAUUACUCCCUCUGCUCACCAGGCUAGUAGGUCUUCUCCACUUCCCUGUGGGUGUGCAAAGUUUCACUCUUACAGAUGUGGAUAAAAAAGACAGAUGGCCCCUUUGGGAAACAUUAUGAGAAAUAAUCAGAGAGAGAAGUCCAGAAUGAAACAAGGCAGGACAAGUUCUCCUGCACCUGCUGCCUUUCCCAUCACACAAGGCACUGAAGCUGCAAUUGCGAAACAGGCAAUCACAAAACUAAGCCACAGGAAACAAAGCACUGUUGCACUUCAAAGGAUGUGUGCUGAAACCUAAUGAAAGCACUGGAAAGCUGCCCAUUGACUUUAGAGAGGCUUGGAUCUAGUCCUGAAAUGGAGAUAAUUUUCUUCAGGGCCCGAACAAGGGACACACAGGGCAGCCAAAGACAUCAGCAACAUCUGCCAGCCACCUCUGGAAGGCAGGAGCAUCGCUGAGGGCUGGACAGACGCUCCUCCAUUGGCGGAGCCCUCAGCCGCAGACAGGAUACAAUGAACGUCUUCAAGCAAGAGCUUUCUCUUAAAGAAAAUGGAACCCACAAUAUCAUUAGCAAUUGGAAGAGAACUUACCUUCUCAAGCUAUUCUGCUAAGACAGCAACAGCUUUCAGCUUCUUAACACUGAGUGCUGCAAAGCUUGCCACUGACUCAACAAUUCAAACUAAAUCCUUUCAGACGAUAACUGCUUUCUCUCUCUAUGUUGCAAAAUAUACUCAUGAGAGAAUAUUAUGGAAAGUGCGUAUAGCCUGAGGAUCUGAGCAAAAUCUCUUUCUAAUCCUUUAUUUUGGAGCCAUUUCUCUUCUUUCACUGUAUGUGUAUGGUUUUCUCCAAGCAAGACCUUGACCCAUCAGAUAUUUAAAGCUGAAAGGAACCACUGGUUCCUUCAAGUCCAUCCUUACCCAACAAAAGACUAACUCAAAAGAGAGACCAGGUUGCUCAGGACCAUGGCCAGUUGUGUCUUCAGCAUCCCCGAAGAAUACUUCUCCAAGGAUGGAACUUUCUCUCUCCCAGAGCUUCAGUGUUCCCACUGUGAUCAUUUUUCUUUACAUCCAACCAUCAUUUUCCCUGCUACAAUCUCAGCCAUUACUUCCUGGGUACUUUGGAGAAAACUAGUCCUGUCCACUCUCAAGCAAGACCUUGGAAAUGGAGGAUAGCAAUUAUCUUCCCUCUUUGCACUCAGCUCAGCAGUGAUAUCACCAGUUCUGUGGAUCUGCAGUACCAGUUGCCCCCAGAGUUCACUCUCCUUCUUGGGCAUUCCAAGCAGCCCUCUGGUUCUAGUAUGCAACAAGAGCUCCCAGUGCUUGAAGUCCUGGGGAACUCAUUCUCUUCCCCGACUCCAAGGGUAUCUGAGUGCCAGAAUGUUGCUCUCUGACACCCUUUCUUUGAACUCACUGUAAAAAGGUUUAUGAAGUUUGACCUGUUGAAUCCUGCACCUCAGUUCCUUUCACUGUUUCCCUCAAGUGUGCGUAAAUAGGAGGUAGAAAGAAGAUGACAAAUUAGUUCCAUUUAAUAUGAAGGAUAUAAGACUUAAAAAAAAUCAUCAAUAUUUGACAAUGUUUACUAUAUUUCCUUUGAAAUCAAACUCAUUUUCAAGUGAAUUUUUGAACACAAUAUUGAUCUAUUGUAUCCUCCUACUUUGAUCUAUAAGAGAAUGAAGAGACAUCAUUAAUAAACAAAGUCCUCAAGCAUGGCAAG
ensembl:lncRNA